UGGCUCAAGGGGGAUGCUC
rnacentral:misc_RNA from 1 species